rnacentral:rRNA from 1 species
UACGGAGGGUGCGAGCGUUGUCCGGAAUCAUUGGGCGUAAAGGGCGCGUAGGUGGCCCCUCAAGCGUGCGGUGAAAGUCGGGGGCUCAACCCCGGGUCGGCCGUGGCAACUGUCGAGCUGGAGCACUGUAGAGGCAGGUGGAAUUCCGGGUGUAGCGGUGGAAUGCGUAGAGAUCCGGAAGAACACCGGUGGCGAAAGCGGCCUGCUGGGCAGUGGCUGACGCUGAGGCGCGACAGCGUGGGGAGCAAACAGGAU